rnacentral:rRNA from 1 species
GAAUUCGCCCUUAGAGUUUAAUCCUGGCUCAGGAUGAACGCUGGCGGCGCGCCUAACACAUGCAAGUCGAACGGUUAAAGCACCUUCGGGUGUGUAUAAAGUGGCGAACGGCUGAGUAACACGUGGGCAACCUGCCCCUCACACAGGGACAGCCUCGGGAAACCGUGGUUAAUACCUGAUACUCCGGACCUACCGCAUGGGCGGUCCGGGAAAGCUCCGACGGUGAGGGAUGGGCCCGCGGCCUGUUAGCUUGUUGGCGGGGUAACGGCCCACCAAGGCAAUGAUCAGUAGCCGGUCUGAGAGGAUGAACGGCCACAUUGGGACUGAGAUACGGCCCAGACUCCUACGGGAGGCAGCAGUGGGGAAUAUUGGGCAAUGGGCGAAAGCCUGACCCAGCAAUGCCGCGUGAAGGAAGAAGGCCUUCGGGUUGUAAACUUCUUUUACCAGGGACGAAAAAAAUGACGGUACCUGGCGAAUAAGCUCCGGCUAACUACGUGCCAGCAGCCGCGGUAAUACGUAGGGAGCAAGCGUUAUCCGGAUUUACUGGGUGUAAAGGGAGCGUAGACGGCGGUGCAAGUCUGAUGUGAAAGCCCGGGGCUCAACCCCGGGACUGCAUUGGAAACCGUGCAGCUGGAGUGCAGGAGAGGUAAGCGGAAUUCCUAGUGUAGCGGUGAAAUGCGUAGAGAUUGGGAGGAACACCAGUGGCGAAGGCGACUUACUGGGCCGUAACUGACGCUGAGGCGCGAAAGCGUGGGGAGCGAACAGGAUUAGAUACCCUGGUAGUCCACGCUGUAAACGAUGAAU